UUGGUCACCACUUACUGAAAGCUUCCUAUGGGCCAGGCAUUGAGUUGGGGACAAAGGAGGAGUCCUGGCCCUUAAAGUUCCCAGCCUCACAGUAGUGUAGGAAGAGAAGAGAAUAUGGAGACCAGACGCUUAUGGGCUGCCCCCAUUGGGAGCUUAGAAAAAGCUAUGUUAAUUCCACUUCAUUGUUUGGAUCUCAUAGAGAAGGUGACAUUUGAGAUUUGUGAGUUGGCGAGCUUAUACUGUGUGUUAGCCAUUUUUCUAUAAAUGCCCGUUUAAUUCUUACAACAAGCCUGGGAAGGAGAUAUAGCUGUGAAUUAGAGGUGGAGCUGGAAUUUGAACCAAGAUUUGUCUUGACUGCAAAGCCCAUGUUCUUUAUGUUGGCUAUAUUUUUUGCUUUAAAAGAUGAGUGGGAGUUUGACUGACUAGGAAGACCCUCAGUUGUCUUAUUUAUUAUGUUGUUAAGAAGAUGAAAGGAAGUCUGGAAAUAGGAUCUUGGGAAUGGAGAAAGAGGAUUAAAAGAGAAAUAAGACAGAAAAAGAAAGGAGCUUAAUUGUAAUUGUAAUCUAGUAAUGGCCUCUUUGGCACUGCUUUUCAUGAAGUACAGAGUAGUUAUGGAACAUUAGAGUGACUAAUUGACUUAAUAUUUUUCUACCAAUUUCUAUUUUCCCUUAAGAAUUUGUAUCCUAACUUGAUCACUUCUGAUUGUGUCAUUUAUUUGUGUUGAAAAUUUAGUGCUAAUAUUAACACUAUACCUCCCCUUCUACCACCCCACUCCCUACUUGAAUUCCUUUAUUUCCUUGAUGCCUGCCAUCACAAUGUGUUUUAACUGGGUACUGUCUUAACGUUUUAGUUACAUCAUUCAGCAUUUAUAGUACAAUAGGAAAAAGGGAAGGAAGGGAGUGGUACCUACUUGAGAACUCGGUAUUAUUAUCUCCAUUUUAGAAAUGAGAAAACCUAGGGCCAGGACUUGGCAAAAUGUGUUGAUUUGCAUCUCGGUUUUUCAGUCCCUAAAACUUGUGUGCUUUGUGUCAUGAAGGGAAACUUAGGUUCCUACCCUUUCCAUCACUUAGAGACACUCAGCUGAUCUCUUCAGUUUUGAUUUCCUCUUUUGUUGGAGGAGGAAGCUUGAACUCAGUGCCUCCUGGUGUUUCUCUUAGCUCUAGCUUUGAGAGGUUAGAUUCAAGUUUAGUUUAGCUGAAGAAGAAGGAUGGAAAGCCCCUGCAGAGAGAAAUGAGCUUGCAUUUCCCAUAGUCCCUACCUACCAGCGCUUCGCACUAGGAGGCUCCCAGACAUUUAAUUAACCAACCCUCUUGUUCCUGUUGAAAAGCUCACUGUUCUGUUAACCUUACCUGAGUAUUUUUUGAGAGAUUUUCAUCCAGUUUUUUCUGCAUCAUCUCAAAUUUUACAGUUUGUUUAUCAUGUGCAUGUUUUGUUUACGUCUUACUCUCGGUGUGCUUUAUGUGGGACAUAACCCAGGACUUGGUCAUCUUUUCAGUGUUUGGUAUGACCAUUUGCAAUAGAAGCAUACACAAGAAUAAAAAGAAGGAUUUGCUGAAAAACCAAAGUCAGACACUGCUUUACUAAUUGGAAGAAGGAAAGCAAUGAAUCACUCCUUGGAGAAUCUGCAGAUGCACUCACUCAAAACUUCCUGUGCAAUUGAGGAACAGGAGGAUUCAGCUGACUGAUGGGUGCCUGGUUGACCUCAGGUCUUACCCAGAGGAUGGCAGAGGUGGAGAGACAGGAGAUGUUACGUAGAGGAGUCCAAAAAACACUUGGCCAGUUCGUUUGGGUUUUUUACUUUGUUAUUUGUAAAUGAAUGCCUUUCCCUUUCAAAGCAAGAUAGUUCCUUUCUUUCCUUUAUAUACCUUACAGGAACACAGCACUCGGCAAUUAGUCAUCUGCAGUAAGCAUUUGAGUGUCUUCCGCCUUUAAAAAGGAAUAAUUGCUUUCUCAGUUAUUUUGCUACUACUGUCUCUUCCCUUCACUUUCCUUCUUAUCCUGGCAAAUUUCUGGAAAUAGUAGUCUUAAUCUUCAUUUUCUCACCAACCAUCCACUCCUAAAGUCAUUGCCCAGGAUGCUUCAUUACCACAUCUGUUGUUGCGUUUUUAGUCUUUGGCUUAUGUGUGCUCUCUGUAGCAUUGACAACUGUUGCCAUCCUGCUUCUUGACACUCUUCCCUUCACCUCCCUAAUCACUCUCUUUUGGCUUUCUUCCACCCAUUUGUCACUUUUGUCCAGUCAUCAAGUCCUGUUGAUAAUGCAGAGGGUUAUAGGUUCUCCCUCUCCCCCUUCUUACUCCUCUUCUCUUUCUCUUAGUUUCCCUGCCUCCCUGUCUUUUACCCCUUUGAGGAGCUCUUCUGCUAGUACCCCUGGUUGCUAACAUCAUUUAGGAUGAUCCCAGGCCUGACUCAAGCCCAUAAAUAGGCUUCAAAUGCAGCAUGGCCCAAACUAUACUCCUUACUAUUUGUUUUCCUUUUUCUCCAAACCCUCUCUUCCUGCAGGUAUCUCAUUGAAUGAUACCCAUACCCACAUAGCUGACGAACUUAGAGCCCAUGACUCAAAUCUGCCCCUUCUUCCUUAUCACCUUUGUGGUUGCUUCAUUUUCCCUUGGACAACUGUAAUAGCCUCUUAAUUGGUCCUCUUGUAUGAGUUCUCUCUUUUCUCCAGACUGAUGACACUUUCAAAUAUGCAAAUCUGAGCUUAUCUCUUGCUUGUUUAAAAUCAUUAAAUGUCUGUUCAGUACCAAAAGAAUAACGUUUAAAUUUUUUAACAAGACCUAGAAAAUCAUUUAUGCUUGUCACCCUUGCUCUCUCCAGCACUGUCUUUCCUUAUGCCGUGCUCCAGCCUUGGGACUUCUGCAGAAGUUGUUUCCACCACUCAAGAUGUGUUCAGUCCUCCUCCUUUUUAAACUGCUCCUUUCCCCUUACCUUUAAGGCUCAACACAGUUUCAUUUCUUUGAGGUCACUUUCUUGACACACUCUCCACUCACAGUGUGCCUCUUCCCUGUACCCCCAAACUUACUACAGUGAGUGUAUUUGGUUAUCUGACUUCCUUCCGCAUUAAUCAACAAGACCGUUGCCUUUUUUAGACUGUGUCUUAUUCCCAGAUCCCAGGGCCUAGCACAAUGCAUGGCACGUGGCAGGUUCUCAGGAAGUUAAUGAUGUUGGGUCUGAGAAUGCUGAGAAGAGGAAGGGAACUUCCUGUGGUUAGGGUGGUGAAACCUGUCAGUGAGGCCUGCUGUGGGCAGCAGGUGGAUGUGGCACGGUGCAUUUCAUUGAGAAGAUAGGUAAAGAUUUUCUGCUAAAUGCUGAUCACUUUUUUCUUUUCUACAAACUUACGUUUUCAUGCCUCCUCCCCUCCGAUUUCAGAGUCAGAACUGCCUCCUCACCCCCUGUUAUUUACCCCAACCAUUUCCAUCAAUUAUGGUGUCUUGCUUCAUUUGUCGGCCUAUUCCUGGUGUCUUGAGUUUCUCUUCUACUAGUCCUUCCCAGUGCCUAUGAACAUGCUUAAGUUGUCCCUUCCUAAAAAGAGAUCACAUUCCUCCAGAUUGUCCCCCCAAUUAAGCAAAUGCCCAGUCUUCUACCACAACUAAGUUUUUGGAAGCGAUGAAUCUUCAGUUGUUUGUUUAUGUAUUCAGUUUCCUUUCAAUUCUGAGACUUUACCCCUCUACUGAAACCCUUCUCAGUUCACCAGAUUUCUCCCUGCGACAUUUGUCUUUGACUUUUCUGGUGAACUGCCCACUUCUUUAUCAAUUUACUCUGGAUGUUGACAUUUUCCAGGCUUCUGCUCCAUUUAACUACCCUCUGAAUGUUACCUCAUUAAUAAUGCCUUCAGCUCUCACUCUACACAGAAAACUUCCAAAUCUCUAGCUCUAAGCAGAUCUUUUGAUCCUACAGUUUUCUGCUUAGUGGACACCUUUCCUAUCUGGUUGUCAUGAAAUCACCUCAGACUUAACCUAUUCUAUACUGCAUCCAUGGUUUAUUUUCUUGUUCCCAUCCAGUGUGUCUUCCAUAUCUUGGGAAUGGCCUAGCAUUAGGUGGGUAAGCCAGAAAUCCUAAACUCAUCUUCACACUCCUUCCUCUACACCUCUCACAUCUACUCCGUCCAUUUUCACCAAUGAAAAUCCUGUCUCUUCUCUUUACCCCCUGCCAUAUCCUGAGUAUAGCCCUCUCCCUUCAGGAUUUUUGCUCAUGUCCCAGCUUUCUGACUCUAACUUCUCCCGGCUUCCCUCAUCCUUCACACUGUCCUGUAUACAGUUUUCAGAGUCAUUUUUCUAAAAUUGAAAUUUGAUCAUGUCAUUUCUUUGUUUUAAACAUUCACUGGCCUUCUAGUUUUUACAGGUUAGUGGUCAAAAUUCUUAGACCAGCAUCAAAGCCUUUCAAAAUUGGGCCAUACUUAAAAAAAAAAAAAAAAAAAAA